rnacentral:rRNA from 1 species
UGAAACUUAAAGGAAAUGGCGGGGGGGCACACAAGGGGUGAAGCUUGCGGCUUAAUGGAGUCAACGCCGGAAACCUCACCCGGGGCGACAGCAGGAUGAAGCCAGGCUAACGACCUUGCCGGACGAGCUGAGAGGAGGUGCAUGGCCGUCGUCAGCUCGUGCCGUGAGGUGUCCGGUUUAACCCGUGGAUGGGGGGUGAUCUUUAAACCCGUAGGCGCGGGUGAUCUUUAUGGAGAUCCUUGAGUACUUUGUCGGGUUUCUCCUGGGGGAUGGCUACCUCUAUCACUACAAGAAGGAGGGGAAGUACCUCGUCAGGUCUGCUGACAGUAACAAGGAGUUCUUAGAGAUGCUUAGAACUGAAAUGUUGUCUGCUGGCUAUAAAGGCCAUAUAUACAAGAUAAAAGGCCGAAACGCGUAUGUCCUGGAAUUUUCAAAUAAGGAGCUGUAUUACUUAUGUCUUGAACUGGCCGCAAAUUUGCUGAAAAGUCCUACAGCUCCCUUUGUGGCUGGGCUGAUAGACGCAGAGGGCUCGCUACAAAAGCCGCGAAGAGGGUCGUUGAGACUGGUUAUUACCAACACAAACCUCCCGUUGUUACAUGCGGCGUCAAACUAUCUGCGCCAGAUAGGCAUCGAGGCGACGCCAAAGCCGUAUGGAAAGACCCAGAGAGGGGAAAGACAAAGAUACCGUAUAAUAGUCUACGGGAAGGAAAAAAUAACAAGGAUCAUUUCGGCCAUCCCCCUGAGACAUCCAAAAUUUUAUCCCCCACCACGGGGCCGAAAGUCCGGCAACGAGCGAGACCCCCGCCCCUAGUUGCUUUCCCGCUCUUCGGAGCGGGAGGCACACUAGGGGGACUGCCGGCGUAAGCCGGAGGAAGGAGGGGGCCACGGCAGGUCAGUAUGCCCCGAAACCCCGGGGCUGCACGCGAGCUGCAAUGGCGGGGACAGCGGGACCCGACCCCGAAAGGGGGAGGCAAUCCCGUAAACCCCGCCCCAG